AUGGCCAGUAGUGCAUAUGUCAGACACCAGUUUUACCAUAAAUAGGUUGUAAAACUUCAGUCUGUCCACAAAGUGUCAGUGCAACUGGUGCUCAGAGCUUUGUAACAACCUUAUCUCGCAAGUGGGAUUCUUUAAGAAGCACCAUAGUCUUCCUUUUCACGCUCUUUGUAGGAUGAGUGCCAGUCUUCAUGUGAGCACUGUCUUCUAGAAUGCCUGCAUUUUCUCAAUGUAGUCCCUUGGAGAUAAGACCACAGCUGUGUUGCCUUCGGUAGCUGGCAAGACUGCAGUAUCGGAAUCUUCGUAGUUCCCACAUGGUACCCUCUUCCUACUACAGAUGUUAAGUUUCAUAAGACUUGUUUUAGUGUGUGACAGAUUUUGUGACCUACUUCUUCAGGUGGAAGUCUUGCAGCUUCCUCUUCCACUGUGCUGAUAUCCACGAUAAGUGCAGAUUUACCAGUUGGAGUCUCUUCUUAGGAAGUUAAACCACAACCUGACCCAGUUGGUUGGCUGUACUACAGGUAGCAUCAGAAGGUCGUCUCUUGUACAUGUCAGACUUUUUGAUAUCCACUGACUUUUGUGCGGAGUCCACUCCAGAUCAUGUGACACCUUUAAUCCAUUCCCAUGUCAAGGAAUAGAACUUGUCCAGCUGUAGAUGUAAUUUGAAUAGUUCUUUGUUAGUCAAAUCAAGGCAGCAGGGAAUAGUGUGUUCUCUCUUCCCUACCAUGGCUAAACUGGCACGUUUCUGGGUUCUUCAGUCUGCCACAGACUUGAUGUGAUAUUAUCUUGUUGAAGUUCUGGACCAAAAGUUAUUCAGCUUCUUGGAAGGAAUGCAGAGGUAAAUGGCUCAACAAGUAAUGCAGUUUCUAAAAUCUUUCCAUGCUGUGGUACAUCUACCCAUAGAGGUGUAGGAUGUGAUUCUUCAUCUUCUCUUGGCAUUCUUCAUGACAAAAUAAUUCACCGGUGAACAGUCAGUCUGUGUCCAAUGGGCACAAAUUACAUCAUUAAAUGUCUCUUCAGAAGGUAAUUUGUCAAAAAUGUGGCCUUGCACAUAAGUGAAAAAUGGGCAGAAACAAUUCAGACAAGAAACAAAUAGAAGUUUUUGAAAUAAGUUUCUAGAGAACACCACAAAAUUAGGUAGGUUGAUCGUAUAACCAUUGAGGAUGUAAUGACUGAAAUUGGGAAGAAAAGAGAUGUGUGGCUCAACUUGACAAAAAUGAGAUUGAUUGAGGUGCAACAAUUUUUGAAAGUGACAAAUGCCUGAGUACUGUAAAUAGGUUCAAAUUGUGCCUUGCACAGGAUAAAAAAGUAGGGAGAGCUGCAUCAAACAAGUCUUUGGACUUACAGCAGAAAAGAAAUAUGGUUUCAGGCAGAUUGUUGUUCUCUCUCUCUCUCUCUCUCUCUGACUCUCUCUCUCUCUCUCUCUCUCUCUCUCUCUCUCUCUCUCUCUGACAUUUUACCGCACUUUGAUUUUUAUUUUGUGUAUGUCUCAGUUGAGGUGGUCCGUUCCAAAACUGGUCUUAUCCAAUUUUUUUUUUUACGAAAUGAGUGAAGCCUACUCCGAAUUUCUUCAGUACCCGGCACAUUGACUGAUUAGUCUGCAUUCACUCAAAAGUUGUUCUUUACCGUAGAAAUUAUUAGCUAAAAAUCGGUAGUUCCAAAACUUGCCUUAUUUAUUCCAAGUGUCGUUCAUAGUUCCCUUAUCCUACCAGCCAUUGAAAUUCUUCAUGUUCCAGUCAAAGGAAAUGCGCGAUGUUUUUCCCACGUUUUUACAGCUGUCGUCAAUAAAGUUUGAAGACGUGCAGUUUUGUGACAAAAUAGGAUUACAAUGGAAGAAAGAAUUACUCCAGCUCCAAAAGGCAAAGCAAGAUGCCGUAAAAGUAAUCCUGCUUUAUGGAAGAAAACCAAGGAAAAAUAUAAAAGGCAUGGGCCAAUGGAACCACCACAAUAUCCAUAAUGGACCAACGUACAAAUGCAGGAAAUUAAGGAUGUUAGGCAUUCAACAGUUCCAUAAGAACUUCUACAGCUCUCCCAAUAAAAUUGAGCUAGACACUUUUAUACUGAAAUAUCUGAGAGCAGAAAAGUCUGAAAGACACACACUCAAAAGAAGGUAGCAGCAGGAAGAGUGUUGCUAUUGAGUAUUUCGUUAAACUUGCUAAUACCGAUAAAUUUCAAGUAAAAGUGUGCCAAAAAACAUUUCUCAAUAUUUUACAUGUGAGUAAAGAUAGAAUUCAUAGAAUUGCCAGAAAUCACUACCAAACUGGUGAAAUGCCUAAAGAGAAAAGAGGUGGUGCUAGAGACAGGCCACAGUACGAUGCAAAGAGACAAUCUGUAAAGUCUUCUAUUGAACGUUCGAAAUGCUGUGAAAGUCACUAUCGUUGAGGAAAAUCGUUGCAAAGAAAAUAUCUUCCCGGAAACUUUAGUAUUGCAAAGUUACACUGGAUUUAUAAUGCAGAGGUUUGUCAUGUUGAGAGUGAAGCGAUGGUUCUUUCGCAACAUUCACAACAGGUUACAACAUCGGUUUUGGUUCACGUGUAAAAGAUGCAUGUUCUACGUGCAUUGAACUUAAGGGAAAAAUUGAGCACGUGAAGGAUAAGUCAGAAAAGCAUUCAUAAUUUAAAAGCUAAAAUUUUUACGCAAAGCUGCAAGAAAAAGGGAUGCUAUGCUCACACUGUCAUUUGACUGUCAGAAAAAUCUGGUUAAACCUAAAAUACUAGAUCAAAUUGCCUACUACAGUCGUCAGAUAUACACCUAUAAUUUUACAGUUGUAAUGGGCCAUUCACAUACUGAAUUGACAGUACAAAAUGUUUUCACGUAUACAUGGAUGGAACACGAAUACAAAAAGGGAUCAAAUGAGAUCCUCUGCAAUAUUUGACAGACUUUCUAAAUGUGAUUUAUCGAACUACUCAAGUUUCAGACUUUGUGCUGAUUGCUGCGGAAGACAGAAUAGAAACUCUACAGUGACAAUGAUGUGCAGCUAUUUUCUGUGAAAAGUGAGUGCCCCCCCAUGUGAAGCGUAUUGAACUGAUAUUCCCAUUCCAGGACACUCCUUUCUGCCUUCGGACAGAGUAUUUGGACAAAUAGAGGAUGAUAUUAGGACCAGGCCAGUAAUUUGCAACCCAAGAGUAUGAAGAUAUUUUUGCAUCGCAUGUUCAGGUUUCUAAUUUGGGUGUGGAUUGCACAGUGAGAGACUGGAAGAAGGCUGCUGACAAUGUGAUGAAAAAACCAAGUAGCUGGCAUUUCAAAUUUUCUUCAGCAAAGCGGUUCAUCUUGUGUAAAACGUUUGAAGGAAACGUGACAGUACAAGGAGAACCGAAUUACAAUGUAGACUGUGGUUCAGGAAGGUCUGUGAUGAAGAAAGGUAAGUUUGAUGAAUAUGGAUGUUGCACAAGUUGUGUCCUCAGGAGUGCCCUUGAACCCAGCCAAGAUGAAGGACGUAAAGCAUUUGCUACAAAAACAUUUUGGAUUGGAGUGGAAGGUGAAUAAAGAACUAGCUUUCUACAAAAAUUUGUUAAUGUCCAAUAUUGGAGAAACAAAUUACUACCCUGAAGAGACUAUCAACGAAUAUUGUGAAAUCUUGUGAGGAUUUGACAGACUUAGCUAUUCGAAUUCUGCUCAAUGAAUAAUUAUGUAGAAUCAUUGUUUACUAUGAACUGUGUUUUUAAGUUCUAAUAAAUGAGUAUAAACUGAA